rnacentral:rRNA from 1 species
CCUACGGGAGGCAGCAGUAAGGAAUAUUGGACAAUGCUCGCAAGAGUGAUCCAGCCAUGCCGCGUGCAGGAAGAAUGCCCUAUGGGUAGUAAACUGCUUUUGAACUAGAGAAAAUCCCAGUACGUGUACUGGGCUGAUAGUAUAGUUAGAAUAAGCAUCGGCUAACUUCGUGCCAGCAGCCGCGGUAAGACGAAGGAUGCAAGCGUUAUCCGGAUUCAUUGGGUUUAAAGGGAGCGUAGGUGGACUGAUAAGUCAGUGGUGAAAUCUCCGAGCUUAACUCGGAAAUUGCCAUUGAUACUGUUGGUCUUGAGUACAGUUGCUGUGGGCGGAAUAUGACAUGUAGUGGUGAAAUACAUAGAGAUGUCAUAGAACACCGAUUGCGAAGGCAGCUCACAAAGCUGUAACUGACACUGAGGCUCGAAAGUGCGGGGAUCAAACAGGAUUAGAUACCCUGGUAGUCCGCACCGUAAACGAUGAUUACUCGCUGCUAGGGGGCAACCUUUAGUGGCUUAGCGAAAGCGAUAAGUAAUCCACCUGGGAGUACGCCGGCAACGGUGAAACUCGAAAGGAAUUGACGGCGNGAGAGNGCGACGGACGACGACGAGGGAGGAGG